AUGGCAGCAGCAACAGCUCCGCCGUCUCAACGUCCAUGAGUAUCAGGGGGCUGAGUUGAUGAACAAAUAUGGGAUCAAUUUGCCUAAGGGUAUUUUGCUAUUUCUUCUGUUGAUGAAG